rnacentral:rRNA from 1 species
UGGAAAUCUAACCUAGGUCCGUUAUCCGGAUCGGAGACAGCGUAUGGUGGGUAGUUUGACUGGGGCGGUCUCCUCCGAAAGAGUAACGGAGGAGCGCAAAGGUUGGUUCAGCGCGGAUGGAAACCGCGUGUUGAGUGUAAGAGCACAAGCCAGCUUUACUGCGAGAGCGACGGCUCGAGCAGUCUCGAAAGAGGGCUCUAGUGAUCCUGCGAUCCCGUGUGGAAGGGUCGUAGCUCAUCGGAUAAAAGGUACUCUGGGGAUAACAGGCUGAUCGCUCCCGAGCGUCCAUAGCGGCGGAGCGGUUUGGCACCUCGAUGUCGGCUCAUCGCAUCCUGGGGCUGAAGGCGGUCCCAAGGGUUAGGCUGUUCGCCUAUUAAAGCGGUACGCGAGCUGGGUUCAGACCGGCGUGAGCCAGGUCGGUCCCUAUCUGUCGUGGGCGCUGCACAUUUGAGAGGAGUCUUCCUUAGUACGAGAGGAUUAGGAAGGACGAACCCCUGGUGAUCCAGCUGUCGCGCUAGCGGCACCGCUGGGUAGCUAAGUUCGGCAGGGAUAACCGCUGAAAGCAUCUAAGCGGGAAGCCCCCCUCAAGAUGAGAUGUGCUUGCUAUACGCGUGAGACCCCUGGAAGACCACCAGGUUGAUAGGCUGCAUGUGUAAGGGGUGAGAGUCCCUCAGCUAAGCAGUACUAAC